GUGACGGUAGCUCAAUUGGUAGAGCCCCGGAUUGUGAUUCCGGCCGUUGCGAGAUCAUCCCUCGUCCGUCACCCCA
rnacentral:tRNA from 1 species